GCGCCCUUAGCUCAGUUGGAUAGAGCAACGGCCUUCUAAGCCGUGUGUCGGGAGUUCGAAUCUCUCAGGGCGCA
rnacentral:tRNA from 1 species